rnacentral:rRNA from 1 species
GACGGGGGGGGCAAGUGUUCUUCGGAAUGACUGGGCGUAAAGCGCGUGUAGGCGGCUGCGUGUGUCGGGCGUGAAAUCCCAUGGCUCAACCAUGGAAGUGCACCCGAAACUGCGUAGCUAGAGUCCUGGAGAGGAAGGUGGAAUGCUUGGUGUAGAGGUGAAAUUCGUAGAUAUCAAGCGGAACACCGGUGGCGGAGGCGGCCUUCUGGACAGUGACUGACGCUGAGACGCGAAAGCGUGGGGAGCAAACAGG